rnacentral:rRNA from 1 species
UGUGUAGGCGGUUGAUUAAGUUGGAAGUGUAAUACCUAGGGCUUAACCCAGGUGCUGCUUCCAAAACUGAUUGACUUGAGUGCGAGAGAGGAAAGUGGAAUUCCUAGUGUAGCGGUGGAAUGCGUAGAUAUUAGGAGGAACACCAGUGGCGAAAGCGGCUUUCUGGCUCGUAACUGACGCUGAGGCACGAAAGCGUGGGUAGCAAACA